AUUUGAGAAGCACGUGCUACAACUCUGUAUUUAAACAUUUAGUUUUAAGUACUGUACAUAUGUGCAGUUUCAGUCGGGAUGGGGAGGGGAACAUCUGACCAUUCCCUUGUAAGUUUGCUCAUGGAAAGGAAGAAUCAGGGGCAGUCUGCUCCACUGUCUUGGGGCAUGCUGGCAACCCCAAUCCCCUUAACAGGUAAACUGGAACCGUCAACCCUGCAGCGGGGAAAAAAAGUCUUAUUGUCAUACAUGCAACAAGAACAAACUGGAGGAAACACAAAGGGAUCAUUGUCGAAUUAUCACCAAUACAGGGAAGAUUAACUACAACAAUGUUUUGCCUGGUACCUCGAAGGGAUUGUUCAGAAUAUUGCAUCUAUCUUUCUGUAGUGCCACUUAGCUCUCAGCAUGAUACCUCAUACCUUAGUUUGGGUAGUAAUGCUUUCUUAUUCUGGUCCCUUUCCUUUGAC
rnacentral:lncRNA from 1 species